rnacentral:tRNA from 1 species
GCUGGGGCUCAGUGGUAGAGUGCUUGCCUAGCAUGUGUGAGGCACUGGGUUUGAUCCUCAGCACCGCA